rnacentral:rRNA from 1 species
UACGGGGGGGGCAAGCGUUGUUCGGAAUUACUGGGCGUAAAGGGCUCGUAGGUGGCCAACUAAGUCAGACGUGAAAUCCCUCGGCUUAACCGGGGAACUGCGUCUGAUACUGGAUGGCUUGAGUGUGGGAGAGGGAUGCGGAAUUCCAGGUGUAGCGGUGAAAUGCGUAGAUAUCUAGAGGAACACCGGUGGCGAAGGCGGCAUCCUGGACCAUUACUGACACUGAAUAGCGAAAGCCAGGGGAGCAAACGGG